AUUGAACGCUGGCGGCAGGCCUAACACAUGCAAGUCGAAUGGUAACAGGAAACAGCUUGCUGUUUCGCUGACGAGUGGCGGACGGGUGAGUAAUGUCUGGGAAACUGCCUGAUGGAGGGGGAUAACUACUGGAAACGGUAGCUAAUACCGCAUAACGUCGCAAGACCAAAGAGGGGGACCUUCGUGCCUCUUGCCAUCAGAUGUGCCCAGAUGGGAUUAGCUAGUAGGGGGGGUAACGGCUCACCUAGGUGACCGUCCCUAGCUGGUCUGAGGGGAUGGCCAGCCACACUGGAACUGAGACACGGUCCAGACUCCUACGGGAGGCAGCAGUGGGGAAUAUUGCACAAUGGGCGCAAGCCUGAUGCAGCCAUGCCGCGUGUAUGAAGAAGGCCUUCGGGUUGUAAAGUACUUUCAGCGGGGAGGAAGGGAGUAAAGUUAAUACCUUUGCUCAUUGACGUUACCCGCAGAAGAAGCACCGGCUAACUCCGUG
rnacentral:rRNA from 1 species